UGGGAUUAACAGAUAAGCCACUGCAGA
rnacentral:piRNA from 1 species